UAGGGAAUCUUCCACAAUGGACGCAAGUCUGAUGGAGCAACGCCGCGUGAGUGAAGAAGGUUUUCGGACCGUAAAGCUCUGUUGUGGUGAAGAAGGAUAGAGGUAGUAACUGGCCUUUAUUUGACGGUAAUCAACCAGAAAGUCACGGCUAACUACGUGCCAGCAGCCGCGGUAAUACGUAGGUGGCAAGCGUUGUCCGGAUUAUUGGGCGUAAAGCGAGCGCAGGCGG
rnacentral:rRNA from 1 species